AAAUAAAGAUACGUUGUAUAUAUAUUAUGAGAUGCAGGACUCAAACUGAUGAAUGUACAAGUGGGAGUGAAAUGAGAAAUUCAGACCAAGAAAAAGCAGUGAUAAAGCAUUCAGUAUAUUAUUUCAUGUCAGACAGUUUCUUUUCUAUCUAAACUGACAUAUUUCGCAAAAAAAUAUCCUUUAAGAAAACAGCUGGUCCAUUGGAACAUUUUCCUGCUGCUGUGUAUCAUCAGCCCAGCGUUUUGUUCUGAUCAGAAAGGUAAAGAACAUGAGCAGAGAGCAAGGCCUGAAGGAAAAAAAAAUCCUGUCGUGCCCCUAAACAAUACAGCAACUCAAAGCAGUAUAAAAGAACCUCACUGAUAAAUCGAGCAUUUACAUUUUCAGCAGGAGAAACUGCAAUGCCCUGACUCUCAUAAGUUCUUUUAGGUUGUAUGAAGCCAGGUCAUCAGUACUUCAAAUUAGUAACAGAACACAGAUAGUCUCGGAGAUUGCUAUAAAGGCUAUAAAGCUUUCUGAUUUUCCACUACACAAGAAAUUAAAAAAUAAAAAUUCAGGGUUCGCUGUAUUGGAGAGUAGCUGCAUUUGCAACAAUUGUCUGUGCAUUGAUAUUUUGUGUUGGGGUUUGAAGUCUUCAGUAGGCUCCUUAAUAAAUAACAAGGUAUCCCGAAAGGAUGAGUACUAGGUGGCACCUACUGAGUUACUAACCUUUACUGUGUUCAUUUUAUAUAUAUAUAUAUAUUUUUUUUUUCACUAAAUAUCUUGUGAUCUCAAAUGCAGAUCCACUAGUUUAGAUGAUUUUCUUCUGCAGCAGCUCUGCUCGAUCACUACUAAGGUUUUUAGAGGGAGACUUGCCAAAUUUGCCAACGCUAAUCUGGAAGCCAAAAUAAAUAUCUUUGUGUUCUGAAGAGCGGAAAUGCUGGAACCUGAAUAUUUCGCCCAGAGCUGUUAGCUCUUUUCAAAGCCUAGCAUCUGUAUCGCCACCUCUGCUGAAAAGCCCUGAGGUCUUUUGAAAAAUAGAGCUCCACAUACGCAGGCUGAGCAUUGAAAAAGUAGGCUUUUGGUUCUUUUUGGAGACAGGGGUCUGCAGCCCGUUUGGAUCAAGUUGAGGCAACCAUGGUGUCUCCUAAACUCUGGUGAAUGUGGAAAAAUGGCAGUUAGCAUUGCCUUGAGAAGCUUCAUUGCAUUUGGCUAAAGCAGACAUUUUUGCUGAAAGCAUGUCUCCCCAAGAAAGGUUCAGGCAAAACUGUUCCAUCAGGCAGCAAGAACUUGAUCUUCCCAUUUGCCACAAGCUGGUCCUUGGGCUGGAAAAGUAGCUGCAGGAUACUGCCUGCUGAAGGAGCACAGGAUUUAGGAUCUGUCAGCACCACAGUACCAAGAGUUUGGGGACACACCAGAGCUUUUAUAUAGCAUCUACUGACCUCCUUUGGGCAAGCACAUAAGGAUCUUCUGCGGAGCCACCCUCGAGACUACGUGUUGGGAAAUGCAAUGUGCUGAACAAACAUGGUGAAGAGAAUGGGCAGACUGAUAGGCUACCUUAAAACAAGUGGCUUCCCUCAGACAAAUGGAGGAGCAAGCACCUGUGUUGUUCAGACACUAUCUGUCAGCCUUGUACUG